rnacentral:rRNA from 1 species
CAAGUCGAACGCGAAAGUCCCCUUCGGGGGGCGAGUAGAGUGGCGCACGGGUGAGUAACACGUAGGUAAUCUACCCUUUGGAUUGGGAAUAACAACCGGAAACGGUUGCUAAUACCGAAUAAUGCAGCGGCACCUAGUGGUGACAGUUGUUAAAGCGGGGGAUCGCAAGACCUCGCGUCUGAAGAGGAGCCUGCGGCGGAUUAGCUAGUUGGUAAGGUAACGGCUUACCAAGGCGAUGAUCCGUAGCCGGCCUGAGAGGGCGGUCGGCCACACUGACACUGACAUACGGGUCAGACUCCUACGGGAGGCAGCAGUCGGGAAUUUUGGGCAAUGGGCGAAAGCCUGACCCAGCAACGCCGCGUGAAGGAUGAAAUCCUUCGGGAUGUAAACUUCGCAAGAACAGGAAGAAUAAGUAAGAGCUAACAUCUCUUACGAUGACGGUACUGUUUGUAAGCUCCGGCUAACUCCGUGCCAGCAGCCGCGGUAAUACGGGGGGAGCAAGCGUUGUUCGGAUUUACUGGGCGUAAAGGGCGCGUAGGCGGCCUCCGCAAGUCGACUGUGAAAUCUCCGGGCUUAACCCGGAACGGUCAGCCGAAACUGCGGGGCUAGAGUGCAGAAGGGGCAACUGGAAUUCUCGGUGUAGCGGUGAAAUGCGUAGAUAUCGAGAGGAACACCUGCGGCGAAGGCGGGUUGCUGGGCUGACACUGACGCUGAAGCGCGAAAGCUAGGGGAGCGAACGGGAUUAGAUACCCCGGUAGUCCUAGCCUUAAACGAUGAAUGCUUGGUGUCUGGGGUUUUAUAGUCCCCGGGUGCCGUCCCUAACGCUUUAAGCAUUCCGCCUGGGGAGUACGGUC